CCCUGGUGGCUCAGAUGGUAAAGAAUCUGCCUGCAAUGCAGGAGAUCCAGGUUCGAUCCCUGGAUUAGGAA
rnacentral:tRNA from 1 species